rnacentral:sRNA from 1 species
AUAACCACGGACGACCCUGACUGCGAUGGU